UGGUUACAGAAUCCCGCUAUAAAAGUAAGCAAGUUUUUGUAAUAUCAAUGCAAUAAUGGCACUGCUGUUUUGUCUGUCUGGUAAACUAAUUAUUACUAGUUGUUUUUGUUGGAUUAUGAAAUUGCGAGGCACCCACUUUGAACGGAGCUUCGGCCUCUUUAAAGCACCAUUGUCCUCGGUGCUCAUUUCGCCUAUUUUCAGCUUAGCUAAUAUCUUUUCAACGGUGGAUUUCCUUCAGCCCAAAUUCAACAGUGUUUUCCCCCAAAAAGUAAUGCUUUAUUAACACACGAAAUGCUUUAUGAUCCAUUUUUUUGCAAACUAACACAACUUGUUUCUCAAAAAUGCUAUAUCUCAUUAACUAAUAGUUAUAAUCCUACUAUAGAAACCACAUAGAUGGUAGUAGUAGUAUUAUCUAUGUAUCAGCCACAGUGAAGCUUGGACAGGUCCUCUAGUAUGAUAUAAUAUCACAAAAAUGCACUAGACCUUAAUGCCAAAUGCACAUGGCACGGCAAAUUACCUCCAGAUUUUUUAUUACGCAUACCGAGAAACAGUAGGUUUCCAAACCAUCAAAACUAGAGAUUUUGCCAUAGGCCGCGUGAAGAUUCUCACUACUUUUCCCCUCACACGUACUUAUACGUGUGAUCAUACAUCUCUGUUGCGAUCAUUUUGAAGUGUCAUAUAAAAAAGUAUAUCUGACCUGCUCUAAUAUCCCCAAUCGACAGCCGAUAAAUAGAUUAAUUAUAUAAAUAUGCACCCCUAUCAUGCAUUUCGAUUACGUUCCCGCUCUACGCUCCGCCGGAGUCGAAAUUAGGUAUCAUGCGUUACGAUUGGAUUGAAAGAAGAAGAGGAAGAGCUAUAACUCUUUCGAAAUCAGCUGUUUGCUUUGAAAUAUGUGAAACUGGAACAUAACAAAGCAAAAAUACACAAAUUACUGCUGUUCAAAGAAAAUAGAUAAAAGUAAAAUUUUUAUAUUGUUAUUAUUUUUAUUAAACGUAACUAUGGAAUCUUUAUCCGCGGCGAUAUUACUGGUUGAGGAGGAGAGCAGCGCAUCUCAGAAUGCUGGGGUGAGAAUUGAAAGGAGAAGAUUACGAGAUAUGUGCGAUCCCUUCCAGAUGAAUGAUGGGCUAUUCAGAAAAACUUUCGUCUGAAUAAGGACGAAUGUCCUAGAUACGUUUGCGGAAGAAACGACGGCAAGUAAAUUUGAUGCUACCUCUUUCCAAAAAGCCUGCACAUCUUCCUUAGGACGCUGGUGGAAACCGUUGGCUAUAUCUAGCUUACUCUCCAUCAUAUCUGCCAAUUUUCCAUAUUGCUCUGGUGUUGUUGUU